UCCUACGGGAGGCAGCAGUGGGGAAUAUUGCGCAAUGGGCGAAAGCCUGACGCAGCAACGCCGCGUGCGGGAUGACGGCCUUCGGGUUGUAAACCGCUUUCAGCAGGGACGAAGCAACACGUGACGGUACCUGCAGAAGAAGCACCGGCCAACUACGUGCCAGCAGCCGCGGUGAUACGUAGGGUGCGAGCGUUGUCCGGAAUUAUUGGGCGUAAAGAGCUUGUAGGCGGUCUAUUGCGUCGAAAGUGAAAACUCAGGGCUCAACCCUGAGCCUGCUCUCGAUACGGGUAGACUUGAGGGACGUAGGGGAGAACGGAAUUCUUGGUGGAGCGGUGGAAUGCGCAGAUAUCAGGAGGAACACCGGUGGCGAAGGCGGUUCUCUGGACAUUUCCUGACGCUGAGAAGCGAAAGCGUGGGUAGCAAACAGGCUUAGAUACCCUGGUAGUCCACGCCGUAAACGGUGGGUACUAGGUGUGGGGGACAUUCCACGUUCUCCGUGCCGCAGCUAACGCAUUAAGUACCCCGCCUGGGGAGUACGGCCGCAAGGCUAAAACUCAAAGGAAUUGACGGGGCCCCGCACAAGCGGCGGAGCAUGCGGAUUAAUUCGAUGCAACGCGAAGAACCUUACCUGGGUUUGACAUAUGCCGGAAAGGCCUAGAGAUAGGCCCCCCCUUGUGGUCGGUUUACAGGUGGUGCAUGGCUGUCGUCAGCUCGUGUCGUGAGAUGUUGGGUUAAGUCCCGCAACGAGCGCAACCCUCGUCCUAUGUUGCCAGCGGAUAAUGCCGGGGACUCUGUAGGAUACUGCCGGGGUCAACUCGGAGGAAGGUGGGGAUGACGUCAAGUCUUCAUGCCCCUUAUGUCCAGGGCUUCACGCAUGCUACAAUGGCCAGUACAAAGGGCUGCAAACUCGCAAGGGUAAGCGAAUCCCAAAAAGCUGGUCUCAGUUCGGAUUGGGGUCUGCAACUCGACCCCAUGAAGUCGGAGUCGCUAGUAAUCGCAGAUCAGCAACGCUGCGGUGAAUACGUUCCCGGGCCUUGUACACACCGCCAUCGGAUCC
rnacentral:rRNA from 1 species